rnacentral:rRNA from 1 species
UGUGGCGUUGCCCAGACAACUAGGAUGUUGGCUUAGAAGCAGCCAUCAUUUAAAGAGUGCGUAAUAGCUCACUAGUCGAGUGACACUGCGCCGAAAAUGUACCGGGGCUAAACAUAUUACCGAAGCUGUGGAUUGUCCUUUGGACAAUGGUAGGAGAGCGUUCUAAGGGCGUUGAAGCAUGAUCGUAAGGACAUGUGGAGCGCUUAGAAGUGAGAAUGCCGGUGUGAGUAGCGAAAGACGGGUGAGAAUCCCGUCCACCGAUUGACUAAGGUUUCCAGAGGAAGGCUCGUCCGCUCUGGGUUAGUCGGGUCCUAAGCUGAGGCCGACAGGCGUAGGCGAUGGAUAACAGGUUGAUAUUCCUGUACCACCUAU